UUAACCAUUUAAGUUUCAUUACACAAGCAUAACUGACCAGACUUGGGCAUAUAAGUGUAAGACAGAUUGAUAUGGAUGAUAGUGUACGGCAGUACUUAGUUCGUAGAAUGAUUUGUCUGAGUAAUAUCGCUAACGGACGAGACUCAAAUAUGUUCAGGAUUACCUUGUUGAAGCUGUUAUGACCUUCUUACUAGCAUAGUAAGCAUGUGUGAGUGUUUGAAUGUGUUUAUGAGAGUGGAACCAUCUAUCUAUUGGCUUGCCCUUUUACAGGACUCUAGUCACUUAAAUACCCAAAUUACCUCUGAUGUAAAUGAGAUUGAGCAACGACAGGUCUGCAUGUAAUGCCCUUAGAUGCUCUGGCCUGCUCGCACGCUACAAUGAAAGUAUCAAUGUGUAUUUCAUGUAUCUAUAGGUCCGAGCAAACUGCUGGAACCACUUUUAUGUUUAGGAUUGUGAACUAAACUUGUUCACACGAACAGG
rnacentral:ncRNA from 1 species